GACGAACGCUGGCGGCGUGCUUAACACAUGCAAGUCGAACGAUGAACCGAGAGCUUGCUCUUGGGGAUUAGUGGCGAACGGGUGAGUAACACGUGAGUAACCUGCCCUGGACUCUGGGAUAACCCCGAGAAAUCGGAGCUAAUACCGGAUAGGACCCUGUACCGCAUGGUGUGGGGUGGAAAGUUUUUUCGGUCUGGGAUGGACUCGCGGCCUAGCAGCUUGUUGGUGAGGUAAUGGCUCACCAAGGCGUCGACGGGUAGCCGGCCUGAGAGGGUGACCGGCCACACUGGGACUGAGACACGGCCCAGACUCCUACGGGAGGCAGCAGUGGGGAAUAUUGCACAAUGGGCGCAAGCCUGAUGUAGCAACGCCGCGUGCGGGAUGACGGCCUUCGGGUUGUAAACCGCUUUUAGUAAGGAAGAAGGGGCUUCGGCCUUGACGGUACUUGCGGAAAAAGGACCGGCUAACUACGUGCCAGCCGCCGCGGUAAGAC
rnacentral:rRNA from 1 species